GGGGGGAGGGGGGGAAGCGACACCCUCACACCGCUGCCACAUGGUGGGAGUUACGGGAGGGAGACGGGCUGUGUGAGGCGUGUGAUGGUCUUCGUAUCGCAAACAUUAGUCUCUAAGACAUAACAGGAAUGCUUUUGCGUAGAGAAAUGGCAAUGUUUCAUGUGGAAAGCGUUCCCUACAGCACGCUGUGGACAACUGUAUAUCCACCUCACAGCUUUUGAGGCUUCAUUCAUCUCUUCCCUGUGUCAUGCCUGUGGUCAUAAAAUGGACCAUACAUCCUUGGGUAAGGGAGAUACUGAUCCUUAACUUUGGCUGAACUAUACCUACUAUCUUGCUGAGUUUGUUCCAUCUUAAUAAUUGCAUGUGUGUAUAUGUAAUACAGAUGGUUAUGUGUGUUUUUCAUUUUGUGCUUGUCCAGUUUGUCAUUUUUUGACUUGCUUAGGAGUGCUGAGUAUGUGUGGUCAUGAUGUCAGAAAUAACUAAAGCUUGCCAGUGUGUUAGCUGAGAAGAUAGCAUCCCCAAGCAUUGACAUACAAUGAAUCACCUCUAUGAGAAUAGUGGUCAUUACUUAGGUUAGCAGCUUAAGCUUUAUUGUAA
rnacentral:lncRNA from 1 species